rnacentral:rRNA from 1 species
AGAGCGAACGCUGGCGGCAGGCCUAAUACAUGCAAGUCGAACGGAUCCUUCGGGAUUAGUGGCGGACGGGUGAGUAACACGUGGGAACGUACCCUUUGGUUCGGAACAACUCAGGGAAACUUGAGCUAAUACCGAAUGUGCCCUUCGGGGAAAAGAUUUAUCGCCAUUGGAGCGGCCCGCGUCUGAUUAGCUAGUUGGUAGGGUAAAGGCCUACCAAGGCUACGAUCAGUAGCUGGUCUGAGAGGAUGAUCAGCCACACUGGGACUGAGACACGGCCCAGACUCUUACGGGAGGCAGCAGUAGGGAAUCUUGCGCAAUGGGCGAAAGCCUGACGCAGCCAUGCCGCGUGAAUGAUGAAGGUCUUAGGAUUGUAAAAUUCUUUCAGCGGGGACGAUAAUGACGGUACCCGCAGAAGAAGCCCCGGCUAACUUCGUGCCAGCAGCCGC